UUUCACAAAAUUAGGCAUAUAUAUAUAUAUAUAUAUAUAUAUAUAUAUAUAGAAUUAUGCUACUAUACUAUCAAUAGUGCACUUGGUACUAUUGAGUUUUCGGCCGUUGGAUGAAAAUAUGUGCGGUUAUAAUGAUAGGGGUCCCCGGUUAAAUUGUAAUGGUCCCCUAGGGUUGAGUGGGUGGUUGGUUUAAUAGUAUAAUCUAAUGGGUGGAAAUGAUCAAAGGGCAGAUCUAACGGUAGAAAACUCAAUAGUACCAAGGGCUUGAUAUUAUCGAUAGUAUAGUAACCGGACUCUAUAUAUAUAUAUAUAUAUAUAGGAUCCGGCUACUAUCCUAUUAAUAGGAUUGAGUCCAUUGUCCUAUCAAGUCGAUUUAAAUGAUCGGAACUUCAAAUUGAUAAUCGGUACCGUUGAAGUUGAUCUACACAAUUAGAAAUGUUUAGAAACUAAAUUUUGUAUUAUUUAAAAAUCAUUAUCAGAGUUGAAAAAUGAACGGUCAUAAAUGAAUAACCUUGAAAAAUGAACGGUCAUAAAUGAAUAACCUUCUUAAAAUAGAGGUUGAACUUUCUCAGUUCGUAAUCAGAGUUAUCAAACAUUAUCUAAAUAGUAUAAAGAAUUUUCUAUAAAAAAUUCAAGCAAUUUGGAUUGUUCUACACCGUUAAACAAGCAAACGGCUCAUAUAGACCGUCAAAAAUUGUCGAUUUUACGACACUUUGAUCACCAUGUAAACCAUUAUCAAAAUUUAUGAAAUUUAGUUUCUAGAUAUUUCAAAUACUCUAGAUCAACUUCAACGGCUCCGAUCAUCGAUUCGGAAUCUCGAUCAUCAAGAACAACUUGAUAGGACAAGU
rnacentral:lncRNA from 1 species